rnacentral:rRNA from 1 species
AGAGUUUGAUCCUGGCUCAGGACGUACGCUGGCGGCAUGCUUAAUACAUGCAAGUCGAACGAGCUUCCGUUUGAAUGACGUGCUUGCACUGAUUUCAACAAUGAAGCGAGUGGCGAACUGGUGAGUAACACGUGGGGAAUCUGCCCAGAAGCAGGGGAUAACACUUGGAAACAGGUGCUAAUACCGUAUAACAACAAAAUCCGCAUGGAUUUUGUUUGAAAGGUGGCUUCGGCUAUCACUUCUGGAUGAUCCCGCGGCGUAUUAGUUAGUUGGUGAGGUAAAGGCCCACCAAGACGAUGAUACGUAGCCGACCUGAGAGGGUAAUCGGCCACAUUGGGACUGAGACACGGCCCAAACUCCUACGGGAGGCAGCAGUAGGGAAUCUUCCACAAUGGACGAAAGUCUGAUGGAGCAAUGCCGCGUGAGUGAAGAAGGGUUUCGGCUCGUAAAACUCUGUUGUUAAAGAAGAACACCUUUGAGAGUAACUGUUCAAGGGUUGACGGUAUUUAACCAGAAAGCCACGGCUAACUACGUGCCAGCAGCCGCGGUAAUACGUAGGUGGCAAGCGUUGUCCGGAUUUAUUGGGCGUAAAGCGAGCGCAGGCGGUUUUUUAAGUCUGAUGUGAAAGCCUUCGGCUUAACCGGAGAAGUGCAUCGGAAACUGGGAGACUUGAGUGCAGAAGAGGACAGUGGAACUCCAUGUGUAGCGGUGGAAUGCGUAGAUAUAUGGAAGAACACCAGUGGCGAAGGCGGCUGUCUAGUCUGUAACUGACGCUGAGGCUCGAAAGCAUGGGUAGCGAACAGGAUUAGAUACCCUGGUAGUCCAUGCCGUAAACGAUGAGUGCUAAGUGUUGGAGGGUUUCCGCCCUUCAGUGCUGCAGCUAACGCAUUAAGCACUCCGCCUGGGGAGUA